GGUACAUUGUUUAGAUCAAGGUUAAAAUUUGGUUAUAUAUAGUGCACUUCCCAGGAGAUCAGUAUGAUUCAGUAGAGUCGGUACUUGCUAGCAACAUGUUCGCUAAAAUCUUCGCCGUACUUGUUCUGGUGGCUGUGGCUUACGCGGCCCCCAACCCGAAGCCUGCGCCCGCGCCGGCGCUGCAGUUCCUGGCCUACAGUGCGGGCCUGGACUACGUGUACCCUGGAGCCGUGCCCUCCGUCGUGUCUCCUUACUCCACCCCUCUCGCGUACUCCGCUCUGCCCGGUGCCGUCUACCUCCGCUAAAACGAAUCCUCUCGGAUGAUAUAUUGAUGUACUGUGAUGACUGUGUGAUUUUAUAUAUUGAUCAAUAAAUUUUAAUUUGCAA